UUUAAGUAUCUAACGGCGAAACUGCGAAUGGCUCAUUAAAACAGUUAUAGUAUAUUUGAUAAUGUUUUUACAUGGAUAACCGUGGUAAACUAGAGCUAAUACAUGCAUAAAGACCUUCGGGUUGUAUUUAUUAGCUAUAACCUUUCGCUUUGCGUAUAGAGGAAUCAUAAUAACUGAUCGGAGCGCAAUAAGUCUGCGCUAAAUCUUUCUAGUUUCUGCCCUAUCAACUUGAUGGUAGUGUAUUGGACUACCAUGGUUAUCACGGGUAACGGAGAAUUGGGGUUCGAUUCCGGAGAAGGAGCCUGAGAAACGGCUACUACAUCUACGGGAGGCAGCAGGCGCGUAAAUUACCCAAUCCUGACUAAGGGAGGUAGUCACAAGAAAUAGUAUACCAGAAAUUUUUAUUUCUAGUUUUGCAAUGGAUUUAGUUUAAAACCUUAUUUGAAAUCUAUUGGAGGGCAAGUCUGGUGCCAGCAGCCGCGGUAAUUCCAGCUCCAAUAGCGUAUCUUAAUGUUGUUGCAGUUAAAAAGCUCGUAGUCGAAUUUCUGGUCGGAGAAACCGCACUUCGUGUGGACCUUCUUUAGACCAUCCGCCUGAAAAUACUGUGGUUUUUAAUCGCUCUACUUUAGGAUCAGGCAUUUUACUUUGAAGAAAUUAGAGUGUUUCAGGCAGGCUUUCGCUUGAAUACACCAGCAUGGAAUAAUGGAAUAGGACUGAUAUCAGUUACUGGUUAAUGAUAUUAGUAAUGAUU
rnacentral:rRNA from 1 species